UACCUGUGUGACUGCGUACCUUUUGUAUAAUGGGUCAGCGACUUAUAUUCUGUAGCAAGGUUAACCGUAUAGGGGAGCCGUAGGGAAACCGAGUCUUAACCGGGCGUUAAGUUGCAGGGUAUAGACCCGAAACCCGGUGAUCUAGCCAUGGGCAGGUUGAAGGUUGGGUAACACUAACUGGAGGACCGAACCGACUAAUGUUGAAAAAUUAGCGGAUGACCUGUGGCUGGGGGUGAAAGGCCAAUCAAACCGGGAGAUAGCUGGUUCUCCCCGAAAGCUAUUUAGGUAGCGCCUCGUGAAUUCAUCUCCGGGGGUAGAGCACUGUUUCGGCUAGGGGGCCAUCCCGGCUUACCAACCCGAUGCAAACUGCGAAUACCGGAGAAUGUUAUCACGGGAGACACACGGCGGGUGCUAACGUCCGUCGUGAAGAGGGAAACAACCCAGACCGCCAGCUAAGGUCCCAAAGUCAUGGUUAAGUGGGAAACGAUGUGGGAAGGCCCAGACAGCCAGGAUGUUGGCUUAGAAGCAGCCAUCAUUUAAAGAAAGCGUAAUAGCUCACUGGUCGAGUCGGCCUGCGCGGAAGAUGUAACGGGGCUAAACCAUGCACCGAAGCUGCGGCAGCGAACGUAUCACUUAAAGCGAUUCAGCGGG
rnacentral:rRNA from 1 species